UUCGAUGACCUCUGCCUCUGAUUUGGCGGAGAGGUCGUCCUCUUUGGAGAUGCUAAGUUGGCUACCCAGUUUUUCGCAGAUGUUCGAAUUUUUUUGACAUUUUCCCCUCAAUCUCGCUCUUGCUUUCGUUUGGAAGUUGAGCGCUAAAGAUGAUCAGAUCGCCCUGAAUGGUUAAAUAUGUUCUGUGCGAUUUCUAAAGGAUUGUUGGUAGUUGCUCGUUUUUUAACGUGAAAUUAUCUUAUGUA